AAUGAAAUCAGAUCUCUCUUCCUCUGCUCAGUGCUCACACGCGUUCUCUCUCUCUCUUUCUCAGUUCUCUUAGCUGCGUCUCUCACUCUCCCUCUCCUUUUCACCCGGCGACGCCGCCGGUCCUCUCCGCCUCCGGCGCGACGAGGCCGGUUCCUCUCCUUCCUCUAUCUCUUUUUUCUAUUUCUUCCCUUCAAUCUAAAUCCCCAAAUUAUAAAAUCAAAAUCUGGGGUUUCUACCUCUCUUCAUCCCCUCUAGACUUCGUAUCUCCGGCGAAGCCUACCGCCCCGCCGUCGUCUCUAUCACGCCGCCGCCUCCUCUGUUUCAGGUAAGUCCCUGUCUCUCUCUCUACUUCUGUCUCUGCUCUCUCCCUCGAACUCCCUCUUUCUCUGCCCUCUCUCGCUCUCUCGCUCUCUCUCUCUGUCCAGGCUCGCGUCUGCUGCUGCCGCUUGCCUCUUCUUCCUCCUCUGUUUCUGUUUCUCUUACCUUCUUUCUUUUCUAGUUUAAUAGCUUGUUUAGCAAAUCCCUAACUAUUUCCUUAUCUCAGGAAUCGAUGAUUCAACUCCGGCGAGGCAGCCCGCCUGCUGAUCAAUGCUCAAGAUUCUAUUUUUUUCUACCUUUCUUAUUGUAAAUUUAUGUUCUUUCAUUGAUUGAUUAUUGAAGAACUGAAGCUGUAAUGGUUGGGGAAAUCGUACUGUGCUUAUAGAAAUUAGAGUUAGAGAUAUCUGUUUGUGCUUAACUGGUGUAGCUAUGUCUGUUUUCACUGCUUUUCUUACAUAAAGAAUCUACUGUAUUGAAAGAAAGACUACCUUCUUUGAUGUCUGCUGUGGAGGAUGUGUGUUUGAAUGGAUGAUUGCUGCGUGUUUAAGAUUGCAGAAUGAGGAAGGAAAGGGUUUAA
rnacentral:lncRNA from 1 species